CCUGCUGACCAGCGGUUCUGUCCAUAUCAUCGUACAUGGCGCACCUCAGAUGAAGGAUGCGGAUAGGGAGAUUGACCUGAUGGAAAAAGUAGGGGGUUGGGUAAAUUUGAGCUGUGAGGUGAGAGGUUACCCUAGACCCGCCAUCACCUGGAGCAUCACUGGCAGUCAGUCGCAAAGCUGGCAUGAGGUUGUUAAAAGAGAGACAGAGGAUCAAGUCCACAGC